ACCCUCAAUCCCUCUCACAUCGUGACCUUUCUUGUUCUUCACUGGGAAGGCCUCAGUCCCCUAACAAAACCGAACCCUUCAUCUCAGCCUCAUGACUGUGUGAGUCCAAAUACUAUGAAAUCGCGUCCAGAAAUCUGCAAAAAUCUCGCAGCACAAUUUUACCACCAGGUCCAAAAGAAGCAAGCUGAGAUCACUCCCAAGAAGAUCUCAGAGUAUCAAAUAAUUGAGCUAGAGGAGAAUGUUUGUAAUCUGAAGAAAGUUGAGGCGGAUUGGAUUUUAUAGGUAGGUGUUGUGGAACAAGGAAAUAAGUUGGAGCUAGCGGAACAAGACUCUGAAGGACAAUGCAAUUUAGAGUGCAAAACAAUUGAGCGGGCUUGACAAGAGGUGGUAUGAAGGUGGACUUGAGUUUGAUGUUAUGUUUGGGUGAGGUUGCAGGUUAAGAUACUACCAUGUAAAGCCAAAAGGGAUGUUUAACAGCUUCUAAAUUGUGGCAUUCAUGUGGAUUUUGUCACUGUCCAAACGAUUCUAUUUGGUUUUUGGCUCUUUUUACAUUAUUUUGGAUACCACACUUAGCAUUAUGAUCAAAUCACUGUUUGAUCAUAUUCCAGGACAUGGGAUAUUCUGAUAUUGAUGUUGCUGAAUAUCUAUAUAGCUCCAAGCCACAACUUGAUUCAUUGGUCAACUUUUUAUGUAAAGACCUUACUAAAGCAUGCAGUACCAAGCCACCUCCAAGAGAACCUUUUGUGGCCAAGUCAUCCAAAGAGGCAAAAAUGGAAAGAUAUUGAAAUCUAUGGAGGUGAUCAUUUUGUCAUUGCUUUGGCUUUCUCAAAAGAGCCUUCCGCUAUAAUAUAGGAUUUGUAACCAAGAGUUAUGGUGGGUAAAUGUAAAGACAAUGUAUUUGAGAACUUGGUUGUAAACAUUACUCUCUUGAUUGUAAAUAUUUUGUACUUGAGAAUGAAUAAGCAGUUUCAGUUUUGCAUUUUAUCUUCAUGUGGUA